UUGGGCUUAACCAAUGGGCGGGGGCGUAAUAACCUGGAUUCCCUUAGCAACCCGACAGAGAACAGAGGCAUGCCCAGCACAGACCCCUGUGGUCGUUUGGCCCCUAGGCAAUGUGGUGUUCAGGUUAGCUGACGAAGAUGCUGCUCCACCCUAAGUCCUAUAAUGAGUAAGGUUACUCGGACAUGGCCCAAUGACGGUGAAAGGCCCGUGGUUUUGGAGAUUCCGAAUGGCCAAUAUUUUCCUGACCGAACCUUGGAGUUGGUUUGUUUGGGAAUGCAGCCCAAAGCCGGGGGUAAACUGCAUUCAAGGGUAAAUACUAUCACGAGUCCGAUAGCGAACAAGUACCGUGAUGGAAAAUUGAAAAACACUUUGAAGAGAAAGUAAACAGGGCGUGGAACCGUUCACAGGUAAACAGGUGGAAUUGAACUGGAAGCUCUGAGGAUUCAGCUGGUGAGUAUGGCAUGAGCUUGGUCAUAUUGGUUGUGUGCUCGGGUCUGCUUAUCUGCAGGUCUCCGCUUCUGUGGGGAUGCGCGGAUAACUCAUCAUGUGUUGUGCGCCCCGGUACUGGCGGAGCUGCUUGUCAGCGCACUUUCUCAGGAAA
rnacentral:rRNA from 1 species